AAUGCAAGGUCGAACGGGAUUGAGAAGCUUGCUUUUCAUGAGAGUGGCGCACGGGUGCGUAACACGUAUGUAACCUACCUUAAUCUGGGGGAUAGCCUCUCGAAAGAGAGAUUAACACCGCAUAACAUUACCGGACAGCAUUUUCUGGUAAUCAAAUAUUUAUAGGAUUAAGAUGGGCAUGCGGAACAUUAGCUAGUUGGUAAGGUAAUGGCUUACCAAGGCUACGAUGUUUAGGGGAUCUGAGAGGAUGACCCCCCACACUGGUACUGAGACACGGACCAGACUCCUACGGGAGGCAGCAGUAAGGAAUAUUGGUCAAUGGGCGCAAGCCUGAACCAGCCAUGCCGCGUGCAGGAAGACGGCCCUACGGGUUGUAAACUGCUUUUGUACCGGAAUAAACCUUUUCACGUGUGAGAAGCUGAAUGUACGGUAAGAAUAAGGAUCGGCUAACUCCGUGCCAGCAGCCGCGGUAAUACGGAGGAUCCAAGCGUUAUCCGGAUUUAUUGGGUUUAAAGGGUGCGUAGGCGGUUCUUUAAGUCAGGGGUGAAAGACGGUAGCUUAACUAUCGCAGUGCCUUUGAUACUGAAGAACUUGAAUACACUUGAGGUAGGCGGAAUGUGACAAGUAGCGGUGAAAUGCAUAGAUAUGUCACAGAACACCAAUUGCGAAGGCAGCUUACUAAAGUGUCAUUGACGCUGAGGCACGAAAGCGUGGGGAUCAAACAGGAUUAGAUACCCUGGUAGUCCACGCCCUAAACGAUGAAUACUCGAUG
rnacentral:rRNA from 1 species